AAAGCUUGUGUGGUUUUUAUCUGUCAGUCAUUUCAAUUCCGCAUCAACGCGGUUGAAAAAGUUUCACGAUGAAGAAGCGUGACGAGUUUGAUCAUUCUCGUUUAUUACGAUCUGUAAAUUGGACGAGCCACGAUCUAAUUCUUGUAUAAAGUAACGGCGAAAUGACAUACGAGGAGUCGAUGAUUUCAAGGAAUUGCGCUUUCAAAUUGGGAUAAAGUUUAAAAGAGUCAGACUUAAAGAACGUGUUGAUAUCGACCAAGGGAAACAAAAUCCUGGUUCAUGACGAGUUAUGUCAAUUGCAUCAGACCCAACCGAGUGAAUUUCAUUCACCUUUAAUACAAAAUUGAAGAUUUGAGCAUGCAGUGUAUUCCCGGCCAUGACUGUCAGACAGGUGAGUAUACCAAUUGGUGUGAUGGGUGUUUGAUUAUGUGCACUAGAAGGAUCAAUCACAAGCACGAUUUGCUCAUCACGAUAAAAAUGAACUGCUGUAAAUAGAUGAUUUUUGUAAAAUAUUUAGCACUGUAGUGCUACUGACUUGAGACCCAAUAUGAAAAGCAUAACCCUGUAAGUGGAUUAUUACCGAGAAAAUUAACAUUUGACUAUUUUUUGACAAGCUUGGAAAAAUUUAUGACAGGGAAGCUUUGGUGCUUUCCUAUAAUUUCCUCUUCCGUGCAAAGUAAAUAGAAUUAUGGCGUCAGACGCCGGGGGUUUAGAAGUUGGCGGAACCACCAGGUUUUACAGGUAGCCUUUGUGGAAACAUUGCACCACCAGUUAAAUAUAAUAAAGGGGUGGGAAAAGAGUGGACAAUAAACUUGCUAAAGCUGCA